UACGGAGGGUGCGAGCGUUGUCCGGAAUCACUGGGCGUAAAGGGCGCGUAGGCGGCUCUGCACGUUCGUUGUGAAAUCGCCCGGCUCAACUGGGCGGGGUCAGCGGAUACGGCAGAGCUUGAGCAAGCUAGGGGGCAAUGGAAUUCCCGGUGUAGUGGUGGAAUGCGUAGAUAUCGGGAGGAACACCAGUGGCGAAGGCGGUUGCCUGGGGCUUUGCUGACGCUGAUGCGCGAAAGCGUGGGGAGCGAUCGG
rnacentral:rRNA from 1 species